GCUUCAGAGCUUGCGGGCUCAGCAGCUGUGGUGUGCGGGCUUAGUUGCCCCGCGGCAUGUGGGAUCUUAGUUCCUCGACCAGGGAUACGAACUCACAUCCCCUGCAUGGGGAGGUGGAUUCUUAACCACUGGACCACCAGGGAAGUCCCCACCUGGGCAGAUUUAAAACAGCAAAGCAGACACCACCCUCCUUCCCCAAGUAAUGACAUCUGACUCUGAGGUAGGGCUUUGUAAAGCUCCUCAGGUGAUUCCUAUGGGCAGCCAGAGCUCAGAGCCUCUAACCUGGUUGGAAGAACAUUCCAGGUAGAAGGAAAAGCAAAUAUAAAAGGCUUGAGGUGGGGCUGGCAUCUUCCAGGAAGAGGAGGAACACGAGUGAGGCCAGAAUGAGGGAUUCAGCGUGGAGGUGGGGCUGAUGAGAUCAGAGAGGGAAGAGAAGUCGGGGCUUGAAUUAUGAUCCGAAGGAGAUGGGAAGCCAGGGUGGUGGUUUUUUUUUUAACAGCUUUAGAGAGAGAAUUCAUAUACCAUAAAUCUGUCUAUUUAAAGUAUAUAAUUCAAUGAUUUUUGGUAUAUUACAUUAUUAAUUUUUAUUAAAAAUUGUGGCAAAAUAUAUAACAAAAUUUGCCCUUUUAACCACUUUUAAGUGUACGAUUUAAGUGUAGUCAGGGUUCUGUUUCGAACAUAUAAAUGUUUUCUAAACUUCAGCAUUCACAGGCCCCCUUCACAUCAGGGUACAUCAGGAACACCACCUAUAUUAUUGCUCAUUUUCUUUAACCCAGCAAGACAAAGGUCACUCAUAUUCCUUCCAGCAUCACCGGUGUGGGUAUGUCCCACAUGCUGAGCUGUGUGCUGGGGGAUUGCUCUGUGCUGGAAUCUUUUGUUCUUCAUGAUAACUCCACGAGGCAGGCACUAAUCAUAGUCUCAUUUUCCAGAUGAGGAAAUUGACCUGCCCAAGGUCACACAACAGGUCAGUCAGUGCCAGAGCCAGGAUUCAAAUCAGUCUGCCUGACUUACAACUCAGUGCAGUGGUCCCUCAGAAGACGCUGCCCCAGUGUCUGUGGCACUGUGGUAAGUUUACAAAACGCCUCUCCCUGACUCCACUGCCCAUGGGGUGGGUAUUGUUUUGCUCUUUGUCUAAGUUGGGAAACUGAGACUUGAUGGUUAAGUGAAUUUAGAGGUGAGUCAGGUUUUUGGUUGCAAACAACAGAGUGCACUCUAGGUAGUUUGAGCUGGAAAGGAAUUUAUUAAAGGAUGUUAAGUGACUUGCACAUCUUUGGAAGGGAGGGCUGGAGAGACAGCCAUGAACAAUAUAUAAAUUACAUUGCAGGACCUUCAUGUCACUGUCACUGGGCCCAGACACUGAAACUCUCACUAGUGACACUGGUUAUGUUCCUUCCGCCUCCUGCUAGAUUGAAUUCCAUGCAUCAGAAUCCACUUUCAUUCCUUUCACCUGUAGGUGUAUCUGAAUUGGCUAAGCUUAGGUUUCACGUGGGUGUAUCUGAUUGAGUCUAAGUACCAUCUGGAUGUAUUUGAUUGGUUGAGCCUGGGUACAAUUUGGGUGUAUCUGACUGGUUGAGCCUAGGUCACAUGCUUACAGUCUAACUGCAAGGGAAGCUGGGAAAGUGAGUUUCAGGCUGCUUCUGGUCCAGAUUCUUAAGGUGGGAAAUUGUCCAAACAAAAGGCCUUGAGUUGACAAAAGUGUUGACGAGCACCCACUGAGGAGCUGUCCGAAGUCUCUUAUCAGGUCAGUUUUCGAGAGCAGGAUUCAACCAGCUAGUUAAAGCAGAAGGGUUUAGUAAGCCAACUGGUCCGUACUCAGCUGUGUCAACUUGGCUAGGCUGGGACUACGUUUCCCAGAAUCCCUAUCUUUGAAGGGUUCCAAGUUGGAAUUGACCGAGAGAGCAACUCGGGUGAGAGUUUGAAGGCGGAAAGGAAGCAACAGCUUCUACUCUUGCAAGGUCGCUGCGGUUUGAUGUGGUGACAGAUAGCUGCAGGUGUGCCAGCAGGCUUCGGCGUGUCCUUCGGCUGCGUCCAGGUCUUCCUCCUGACUCCUGGGCAUCAGCACGUCGCCUGUCACUGGACGUUUGGCUGCAGAGGUAAUGGUUCCCCAUCGAUUUCUCUACUAGUACCCUCUGCAGCCUCACUUUGGCGGCUAGACAGACCCCGCGGCCUCUCAGAUGGCCCAGUUCGUGGCUCCAGAAGUCCCUUUUCAGACCUCACUUCUGUACCUCCUCCCACAGAUAACGCGUAAGGUCUUACUCUCGGAAUAAACUACCCCAAGGACGUGGGCCAGAUGCUGAUGGCGUGUGACUGACACGUUAUGAGUAUUUACAGCAUCACAGGGAGGGCUGAAGAAGCCACACUGCAGGACUGGGCUCCAGGGGAGCCACUGCUGCCCCAGGAACAGGAGGCAUCACUGCUGAGUCAGCUUCUGGGGCCAGACCCACGGCCGCUUUGCCUUGGUUUAAACCUGCAGCCUGGUGCCCCAUGCCCAGCCCUUUCAACUCUCUCAACGCAGCACAAGUCCGGGUGUGUUGUGGACACAGCUGAUUGGUAGGCCCUUAAACGCGCAGACCCCUGGCUGCAAGGCAGUCUCGGAAAUUGAAUUUUCAGCUUUCCAGCCUCUUCAGUUCAGGAAGGUAAGCAGCGGGAGGAAUGGUUGGGUGUUGAAAAAGCGAGUUUUCACCCAGAGAUGUGCCUGGGGAUCAAACCCUUGGCUUUGCCAUCUGGCCCAGGGCUUUCCCUACCCAGGGCUCUCUUUUCAGGGCGUGAUGUUAAUGGGAAACCGUUGCCUCCUUGGCCCAGCAGAUAAUCCAAGGCCAGGUCACUUGGGUACCAGACAACUUGUUAACACAAUCAAGUACUGACCUCAGUUCACCUUGAUGAGCUGAAGGAGGAGAAGGAAACUGCAUUUAUUCAGCAUCUUUCACACUCCUGUUCGUUUAUGUACAUGGCACCCUAAUAACCUGCAUUUUGCAGCUGAGGAUAUCAGGCCCAGAGAGACUGAGGAAGCUGCCUGAAGUCACACAGCUAGUUAGUGGCAGCAGUGGGGCUUGAGCUGUCUGUUGACCAAAAAAUGCCUGCUCCUAACCAUUACCAUAUAUUUGGUUUUUUGGGCUGUGCAGCACAGCAUGCAGGAAUCUUGGUUCCCUGACCAGGGAUCGAACCUGGGCCCCCUGCCGUGGAAGUGCGGAGUCACAAUCACUGGGUUGCCAGGGAAGUCCCUGUAUAUUUGUUAAUAUUGGAGAAGCUUUUGUAUAAAAGCCACUUAUUCACUCUUUCAUUCGUUCUUAAUUAGGCAUCUUUUCUUGGCUAAGCAGUGUCAGGUGUUGGGGAUACAACUGUGGACCAAACAGACAGAGGUAGAUAAAGGGUAGUGGUUAAGAUGGGGGUUACAAACUCUGCUUCCCGGACAAGUCAGGGAAUAGAAAUCAAUGAAACAGGUUGGGAAUAAAGUUGACAUAGACAUGUUUUCUUUGUAUUUAAAUAUGUGAGAAGACAUUCGUGUAUCUAUUUUUUUCCCCUUGAAACAUGUUGGUUCCUUGGUUUAGUUUUUGUUUUUCCUUCUUUGAUAGAAAAAUAUUUCUCCACUAUGAAAAAAGCAGCUGGCAUGUGUGAUGAUAAAUGACAACUGACGCUUGGCCUCGGUGUCAGGGACACAACAGGGCGUGGUGGAGACUGUGGCAGAUGGGCGAGCCUGGAGAGCAGCUCAAAGGGGCACCUGCGGGUGAGGCUCUUGCUGAUCACGUGUACAUGCAGGCCCCGUGUUGCCAGAUUGCUCUUUUUUUUUUUUUUUUUUAGGGAGACGUUGAAAAUUUAGAUUUUUGAGUUACAUCUCCCAAGUUCUAUAUAGUUUGAUCAAAUUUUGAGAACAUAUUGAUAAUCAAACUUAUCUGUGCGGUGGAUCUGGUGUGCGAGCCGCCAGUUUGCAUCUCGUACUGAAGAGCCUUAAUUUAGGAGUCAGAGAUCCUGGGUUGGAGUCUGAACUCUGCCAGCCUUCUGGCUGUGAGGUCAUAGGCAAGCCACAACACUCUGGGCCUCAGUUUCCCCCUUCUGUAAAAUGGGACUUCUGAAAACAACAUGGUUUGCUGGGCCUUUUUCUAAACCAGUAUUUUCCAAACAGUGGGUCAUGGAAUCGAUUGAGUGGAUUGUGACACACAUCAUUUAAAACAAAAAUAGCACAGAAUGGAAAAUAAGAGGACGUAUCAUAGUAUUAUGGGGUCAGCAUUGCUUUGUGAAACAUUUUAGUUAUACACACAUAAUGUACAUACACCUGUAUUUAUAUGCACACACAUGUAUCUAUGUUAGACUGGGUCUCAAUAUAAUAUGCAUUUCUUAUUGUGGAGUGACCAAAAAAGUGGCUUUCAAACAAAAAGUGUUGUUCAUGUCUGAAUGCAUUCAGUGCUGGCAACAAAUCUGUGAGGUGGGUUCUCUUGUCACCCCCAUUUUACAGCUGAGAAAGCUGAGGUUCAGAGAGGUGAAGUUCCUACAAACAGUAAAAGGAAGAGCUGGGAUUUGACCCCAGGUCCAUGUCUUAACCACCUGCUCUCCCUCCUCUCCAGACAGCACCUGGCAUGGCUGUAAGGAUGAAAGGAGCUAAUGCAGGUCAAGGGCUUAGCCCGGUGCCUGGGACACAGUAGGCGUUUAAUAAAUGUUAGAAGCCAGGCUUGUGUGUGCAGCUCCCCAUUCAGCCGCACCGGGUGGUCAGUAGGAUCCAAGGGCCGAGAGAGGGGAGGGCUGGGCUUCUGCGGUCCUGAUGCCGUGGAGUGGGGAGGCGGCAAGAAGGGCAAAGAGACACCCCCUCCCCUGCAACCAGAGUUCACCAAAUACUCAUUUUUGGCCAAAUACUUAUGGUUGAAUUUUAAAAUUAGUAUUUGGCUGGAGCUGGCUUAUCUCCCAUCCUCGAAUGAACUUCUGGAUAUAAAAAGAAAUCCCAACAUUUUGUCCAACAAUUUAAACUAUUAUGACAAUGGUACUGUGAACCAUUAGAGCAGCUGACUUUUAAAGUUGGGCUGAGUGUGGGAAGAAGUGCUUCCUGGCCCUGUGGUUGCUGAUGGCUCUGAGGCCACCAUGCUGCUCUCUACUGGGAGCCCCAUGGUGGCUGCAGCCGGUCAAUUAAUCCUUAACUCUUGGGCCUGAACACAUCGUCGAUGGCGCUGCAAUUUCAGAGAAGCAAGCCCUGAAGCAAGGGCUCAGUCCGAAGGAGAUGCUUCCGGAAUCCUUGCAGUGUUGUUUCCAGGCAUGACUUCAGGUGGCACCUGCGGGCAGCUUGGGCCAGCGGAGUGGUCGCACUGCCCUCUGGUGGUCAUUGGUAAGCAUAGCUUCUCGGGCGCUGAGCUGGCAUCAUCACGGGGGCUGACAGCGCUGGGGGGAGAAUGGACGGGCGCUCUGAACUCAAAUUGUCCUUUACCCAGAAUGAACUAUCAAUCCAGGCAACAUCCUAGAAGCAUCUCAAAAUAAUUGUGAGUGGGCUUCCCUGGCUGCAUUCUGUAUGGGCCCGUUUAUAGGAACUUGUAGAUCUGGGUGACAGAAUUCAGAGUGGUGGAAGGCUGGUAGAGGCUGGGAAGGACCAUGGGGGCCCUUUUGGGCACCUGGAGACGUCGUCCAUCCUGAUCUGGGGGGUGGUUACCCAAGUGUAAUCAUGUGUAAAAACACAUCACGAUGCACACUUGACCUUGGUGCAGUAAAAUGUGUGUAGGUUAUAAAAUGAGAAAAUACCUUCAAGUUCACGAGAAAUCCCAUGACCAGUUUUGUGUUUUUGGCCACAUCAUGCGUCAUGAGGGACCUUAGUUCCCUGACCAGGGAUCGAACCCGUGCCCCCUGCAGUGGAAGCACGGACUCGUAACCACUGGUCCUCCAGGGAAGCCCCUGAUCGGAUAUGCCUUGCCUCUAUCCUCCCCCCUCUAAAUCAUUCCCCCAUGCAGCAGCCAGGGUGAUUUUUAAAAAUAUAAGCCAGAUUAUGCCCUCCUCUUGCUUGAAACUCUCUGGCGUCUUCUCACUGGAUUUGGAAUAAAAUCCAAACUCCAAUGAAAUCAAAAGUCCACAGCCAAAGGGGUCCACCCAGAUCUGGCCUGGCAUUGACCUGGCGUUUGUCCUCCAGCCACUCCGGCCUUUCUUUCCGCCCAGCUCGGAAGUUUUGCUUGCCUGGAAAUUCUCCCUGGAAUGCUUUCCCUGGCUUUUCUCAUCAUCCAGGUCUGAGCUCAGGUGUCCCCUCCUCAGAGGUGACCAGACUGUCCAUUGUGCCCCCGUGCUGUUCCGAUUGCACCGCAACACCCCAGUGUCUCCUUCUGGACUCAGCGUCUGGGGAGGAAAGCAGCCCUCACCGUUGACGGAACACUGCCUCGCUGUGUAUUGUGAAAGCCAAAAUCUCACUCAAGAAGAAGACCCUCUGUGUUUACCCCUGGAGGAGCCCAGGGGCCAGUUGUGGACCCUGAAUGUUUCACCGGAUGGAUACUGUGAUCUCGUUCCAAAGGAUGUUCUCAGGAUCCCCUUUGAAGUUGGCUGACUUAGGCCUCCAAGGCCCACCUUCCCCUCCCCACUGAGGGUCCCAUGGCCCCAUCUCUCUCGACCUCUGGGCGGCUCUUGGAAGGGAACUUGGGUUGUGGCUCAGGCAGGAGAGCAAGCCUGUGACCUCGGUUUCAUGAGAGUUGGGAUGCUUCUGUGUGUUUUCACCUCUGCUUCCAGAAGCCGAGAAGAGCGCCUGGUAAGUGGGCUUCAUCCGGCAGAGUAGAGGAAUGGAUGUAGCACAGCUGCCCCGAAACAUGAUAGAGUCCCUGACUUGGACCACUGAGACCCUGCUUUUGGCAAUGGUGGAUCAGUGGGGGUGAGGCUUCCUGGGAUGGAGCAAGAAUGAGGUUGCCUGAUUUCCAGAACAGUCUUCCUCAGCCUUUGCACCAGCACCAUGAGGCACAGAGUGAAAGGGAUUUGUACCAAGUUCAGCUUCCACAAGCAAUGCAUGAAGCCGCACAGCUCCACCAGUACUAUGAGGAGGCUGAGGCACAGAGAGGUCUGUCUGACUCCAGAGAGAAAACCUGACUGCCUGUUUAUCACAGGAAAAUGUGACCGUCGACUAAAGUUGUUGCCUGUCCAACAGCCAUCCUCCCUUCUUCCUACUUCCAGAACCCUGAAUUUGGCAGCCCCGUGCCCGAGAGGAACUUGGUGGCUGAGAAUAAGGGGUACAUCUCCCAGCUACCUUUGUGGCAAGGUGAGAUCAUGUGACUCAAAUCUGGCCAACGGGGUCUGAGAAGCAGUGAUGUUGACCUAUAUCAGCUGUGCUCUUAAAGGGAAGAGGAGUCCUUCCCCUUUUUCUUCCUGGUGGCUGGAGUGCAGACGUGGGCGUGGUGAGGGGCCGUCUUGGACUUUGUGGAAAGAGCAGUACUGGGACUGGCAGAGCAACAAGACAGAAGGGGCCCGGGUCCCUGGUGCUGUCCCAGCUGUCUGGGCAGCUAAUGAGAGACGAAGAAAGCUCUCCCCUGUUUAAGCUGCUGUCUGGCAUCUCUGGCAAUGCGAACUCCACAGAACCUGGGCAGCCCUGGCCCCGCUGGAGCCCACCCCAUCCACAUCCUCAGCGGGUCUUAGCAGCGUGCUUCUCCUGUGGACUUUGAGCAAACGAGAUUUCGGUGAGUUUUCAUGUUAUACAGCCGCGGCACCUCGCUGGCUUUGUGAAUGGCCAAGACCGCACACCUGUGUCCCCCUGUGUGUGUCGGCUCACAUCCUCAGUGAUGGUACGUUUGGGUGUGAGAUCUUGUGCUCAGAUGUUCACAUACUGAAGCACACGUUACUGAGAGUAAACGGUCAUUUCAAAACAUCUGCUACGCCGCCCUAAGAAACGUCCUUUGGUGAGAAGGUGGGUGAACGGCAGCCACUGCUCCGGAUGUCCCUGUCAUUCUCCAGGUGAGAACCAGAGGGCAUGUGGGGGGGGGGGUGCCCGCGGCCAUGGGCCUAAGUGGGUUCUCAACCCAACUUUGAUAGAAGCAAAGUUUAUUUUGAUCGCUGUCACAUGCUUAGGGCAGAGGGUUUUUUCUAUUAGAUCUGAACUUGGAAGAGGGGCUCCAUCCCGGCAGUGGGCUUCAAGUAGUCUCACCAGAGACCACGCUCUUGACCUGGCACAUUGGUCCUGGAUUCAUGUGAUGAUUCGCGCUACUGUUUUGGUCAUAUCCUGGUGUAUCACCCCUAUCCUGGUGUAUCACCCCUAUUAUUUACUUAAUAUUUUUUCCUCUGAGUCAGUUCAUUUUUAAAGUUUAAGAAAUAUGCUUUAAGAAGAAGUGCUCAGGGUAAAGGCUGAAGUCCCUCCGAAGGCCCCAGGCACCUCCCUGACUGCACCUCCUGCCCCUCCCCACUCGCCUGGUGCAUCGCGCAGCUGGCAGCCAUGCCAGCUCCCUGCAGGACGCUCCAGCCUUCCGACCUCUCAGCUUCUUGGCUCCUCUCCGCGAACUCCCUCCCUCUGAUACUCACUUGGCUCACUCGCUCUCCCCCUCCCAUUUUCGCCAAAGCUCUGGUCAUCAUCUGACACGCAUGUUACACUUAGGGGUCGAUUGCUCGUCCCCAGGCUGUGAGCUGAGGGAGGGGUGAGAGCCCUGUGUGUUCUGCUCACUGCAGGACGCCCAGCGCCUGCAACAGUAGCUGGCACACAGUAGGUGCUCAGCUAAUGGAGCUUACACACCAGCUGGAGAGUCGGUGACUAAGCCACCAGGCACACAGGGGACGGGCGAGCAAAGAGCCUGGGAAGGAGACAGGCUCAAGAGAGGAGGAAAGAGCAGCCGGAGAGACGGACGGAGAGAAUAUACCUUUUUCGCCCCCUGCUCCUCUUCCACGCCAUCGCCAAUCACGAUGUAGACGGCUUUUCUGCCGAAUCUCUGCAUUAUCCUCUCAAAGCAGCUCUCCUUCCCUGCACACACGGACGAAGGAAAGACACUCGCUGGAAUGACAAUAUGGCAGAAUCUGAUUUGACCAUGUACAUGAGGAUAAAAUUACAGGGGAUGGUGGAAAACUAAAACGGGAAGAACAUGGCUUCCUGGGUGUUGUACAUCUCCUUCACUCGCCGGUAGCGGAAGGCCAGCUUCCUCAUCCAGUCCACGCCGCCGUGCACACCAGAGCCCAGGCACAAGCUGGCCCCCGGGGCCGAACUGUGGAAGCCAUCAGCGGAGAAGUUACAUUCCCUAUGUUGGGGACUUCCCUGGCGGUCCAGUGGUUAAGACUCUAUGCUCCCAAUGCAGAGGGCAUGGGUUCAAUCCCCUGGUCCGAGAACUAAGAUCCUGCAUGCCGCAGGGCGUGGCCAGCAAAAAAAAAAAAAAAAAAAAAAAAAGAAAUUCCCUAUGGUAAUUUUUUUAUCUGUUAAAUUAAGCAGAGUAGAUUGCUGGUGCUUUGUAGACAUAACCCUCCAUCAGCAUGAAGCGUGGUCUGGGGACAAGUCAGAGUGUCAUGUGAGGUUAAUGACAGAAGCGGCAGCUGGGAACCAGAAGGGGAAAGCGUGGGCGAUUGACCACCUACAGCAGCUAGAGCGUGAGAACGAAAGCCCUAGCUCUCCACGGAACACCAUUUUCUUUCCCUCCACUGGAAGCUUGGUACAGGUUUGCAAAACCACAGGCCGUUGCAAGGCAAAACCAGAGCGUGACAAGGGAUGUGUGGACCAAAAACUUCAAAAGUGAAAGUCUCUUCGAACAGAAAAAGCCUGGGGGGAGCAGGUCAGCGUGGUAUAUACCACAGCCUCUUGCGGGGUGGGUUCAGCUGACUUUUUUUUCUCUUUGCAUUAUUUUAUUGUUUCUGGAUUUUCUGUGAUGGGUUUAAGAGUGGAGAGAGAUAUCGUAUUUUUUAAAAAGAUGUGAUGCACUAGGGAUGAAACAACACUAGGAAAUUGUAUCUUAGGUAUCCCCGGUUUAACGCCACUGCUGCAGCAGAUAAAAGGGAAUUUGAGAAGUGUGAAGCGCUGGGUCGUUCUCCCUGUGGGCCACGUGAUGUCCUGAUGCCCAUGUGCCGUCCCGCACCGUUCUGUGCCUGGGGCUCAGCCUGACAGCCUGAAUAUCGAACUGGUGACAACGAAACCCCUGCAGGAUCCACAGAAACGCCUUGAGUGAUGCCUCAAACUCAACAGCAGAUUUCACCACGUGGGCUCCACUGCGGCAGGUGGGCCAGGAGGGCACUGACCCAGGUGACUUAAUCCCAAAGGCCUCAAACGUAGACUCUGGCAUUCCCUCCAGAGCAGGCUGGGUAGACAGUCACAGAGAGAUACCAACAGGCUGACAGAAGUUCUUUCGAUGUCUUCAAAUUUUUGCCCAUAUGUCCAUAAACACACACACACACAUCCACCUGGGUCAUUUUUCACAGACAUUUGUGUGAGUGUGCGUGUAUAUAAAAUUGGAAGCAAGUAACUCAUAAUGUCAGAAAGUGGUGAGUUGGAGAUGGUGGGAACAGGGAUGAUCGUAGUUUCUUCUCUGCUCUUUACUGAAUUACUCAAGUUUAAAAGUUGGGGACUUCCCUGGCGGUCCAGUGGUUAGGACUCUGCGCUUUCACUGCCGAGGGCAAGGGUUCAAUCCCCGGUUGGGGAACUAAGAUCCCGCGUGCCUCGUGGCGUGGCCAAAAAAAAAAAAAACAAUACAAUAAAAUAAAAAUAUAGGUUGUGUGUAAUUAACUUGUUUGACCACUAGCUCGACAUCGUGGUACUGGACACCGUAACUUCUGAGAUCUUAAGAAGGUUAUUAAAAAAAAAAAUUAAAAAGAUACAUGGAGAAUAAGAUACGACUGUUCUAAUAACUUGUUUGCAAUGAUAACGUCCUCUUUCCCACGAAAGAUGCCAGUGGGUUUAUUAUACAGACAUGUUGCUUUCUUCUCAGUCCCUCCCUUGGGUGGUGGUGACCACGGGCUGAAGAGGAAUAAAAUAUCCCCAACUAGUAAAAGGGAGCAGACAACAUCUAAUCGUAGGGGCAGAGAGCCAUUUAGCAAGGACUACUCACUGUGCUGGGCACUUUUCUAGCACAUUCUUAUCCUGAUGAGAAAGGGGCUAUGUGACUUUAUCCCAUCACGGCCCCUCAUUUCCAGAAGCCACACUUUAAAUUGACACGUGCUCCUUCCUCUGUACUGUCAAGGUUCCCAUCUUGCCAGAGAAUGUCUUCUUUUUCUUUUUUAAAGACAUUUUAUUUUCCAUCAACCUCAUUUCCAUUUUCUGUUUAAGAGUCUUUGGAAGAACAGCUUCGGACCACUCAGUGGUUGUGCCUCCCCAACCAGUGGCCUGAACUCCGCAGUCUUCAGUAGGGAGCCACCGGGCAGGCACAGAGGGCAUCUGGGAGCCUUCAGACUGGUCUGCGACCUUGAGUGGCAGUGAACUUGGGAGCUGGAGCAUCCGUUCACCCCAACGUUGCUCCAGGGUUACAGCCUUUUCAGCAGCGGCCUGCUCUUCCUUUUCAGCCUCUUCUGGAUCCCUGUGGAAGCAGAGAUCAGGCAUGACCUCCCCAGGUGCUCACGGGAGAUGGUACCACUCCUGCGCAGGACAUCCCAGGCCAGCAUCCACCGUGUCAGACCCGCUGGGGAAGCUCCCUUGUUGUUGUAGGGACGGCACAGAGGAGAAUCUGCUACACACAGCAACGGCAGGCAGGUUAACACAAGAGCCUCUGGGAGAGGCUGGUGGUCAGCGCUGGAAUCAGUAACCACCAGAAGUCGUGGCGCCUGGAAGGCUGCCUGGAUCUGGUAAGUGAAGUUUCCAGAGUGAAACAGCCAGAAAUAGAAGUAGGUCCGGCGGCAGCGACGAACUUCAGCACAGCUCGCCGGUCAGUCUUCUGGAGGACGUGACACUGACAUCGACUGGGUUUUCAGUGGCAACCAUGGCACAAGCUGCCGGCAGAAGCUUCUCCCCGUUCUCUUCAGACUUACGAUGUAGAUGCCGUCACUUUUCCUUCUGCAGAUGGACCCAUCCAUUUGGAAGUCAAGGUUGGUGCCUCCUAACUGGGUUCCUGCUGCAAAGAAUUUGAGGACAUCCUCCUUUUUCACUUUGCAGGACAUCAAGGACUCCGGCCAUUGUGGAAAUUUCCCUUUAAGUGAUGAUGGGAAUCUAGAACAAUGCCUUAUGGACCCCUCCCUGAGUAGUGCAGAAAGGCUAGAGAAUUUAUUCUUGAAAAAGAACACUGACUCUGUAAACUCAGGAUACCUGGGGAGAUGCCUGGAUGUUCUGCUAAGAGGUGGAGGGCAGGGAAGGGUGUCCGUGAAUCCUGCCUCACCCAUUUACCAGCUGUGUGAGGUUAGGCAGGUUACUGAACCUCUCUGUGCCUCCCAUUCCCCAAGUGUAAAACAAUGAUGAUGAUAAGAGCAACUAUUUCCUAGGGUAACUGUGAAGAUGCAGUGAGUUAAGUCACAUAGAGCAACUGGAACAGGGCAUGGUGCAAAGUAAGGGCGUUACCACUGUUGGUUUUUACUGUUAACUGAAAACAAAACAAAACAAGGGGCAUUUGAUAGUUGCUGCCUAGCACACAGUAGGUGCUUAAUAGAUAUUUCUUGAAUGAACAAAUGGGGAAUUUGGCUUCUAGUGGGAAAAAAACACCCUUGGAUUGUGGAUUCUUGAAAUGAGGUACCAAACAAUCCGCAUGAAUCAGGGUUCAGAGGGCCAUUGCUCUGAAUUCCAAGCCAGCCAACUACAGGGGAAACGAUAAAAACAGAACACUGGUUACUCACUGCCUUGAAAGGGAGAGUGGUUCCCUGGGAUGACUUCAUGAAAAGGACACAAUUAGCCUUGACCUGGGGUUUAUUUACUCCACAAAUUAAGCAGUCCUGGCUGGCAGUGGAGCCGUGCUCCUUGCCAGGCCUGACUGCAGAAGGGAUUUUCUGAAUGGCUAAUUAAAAUGAAGCAGGCGAUGCCCAGCUAUCACUUCUAAUUGUGCUGGGCUUUGAAAAGACUUGCAGGGCUCAGGAACAGAAACUUUGAUUUCUUUUUUUUUUUUUUGAGUAAGUUGGAAGACACACCUAGGCAGCAAACAUUAAAUUACCACGAAUGGCUCACAGGCAAAACGUUAUUUGGUCUCAUAAUAUUUUUGACGGGCCUAGAAGCGUUGAAUAGUGAUAAUUUUGAUAAGCACAGCUUAAUAACUAGGGUUCUGUUUUUAUAAUGGGCAGGCUUGGAACAUUCCAGCCAUAUUCUUCUGAAAGCUGUCUCACUUUGAGCAGCUGGGUACCUUAUUUCUGGAAUUCAUGUCCUAGGAGUGUUUUCCCCUAGAAAUCAGACAUACCACUUACUCACUCAAGAAAUAUUUUUUUGAGUGUCGACUAUAUCAGUUCUACAUUAAAUAACGUGUGUAUGUUAGUGAGCGCAGUCAAACCUUGGAAAUAGGUUUACCGGACUCUUCAUGGUGGUGAUUCUGGGAGACGAGAUCAGAGGUGGUGUGUGGUACUUUUCACAAUGUGCGUACAUUACUUUAGUAAAGCAGGGAAAACCCCCCAGAGAGAGAAACAUAAGCAGAGUCACAGAGGAUCGGCAGGAAGCUCGGCCUCAGGGAUUCGGGACGAUGCAGAGCAGGCUGCAGGGUGGGGGGCAGGGUUGUGAUGUUUUUUUUUUUUUUUGCGGUACGCGGGCCUCUCACUGCCGUGGCCUCUCCCGCCGCGGAGCACAGGCUCUGGAUGUGCAGGCUCAGCGGCCAUGGCUCAUGGGCCCAGCCGCUCCGCGGCACACGGGAUCCCCCCGGACCGGAGCACGAACCCGUGUCCCCUGCAUCGGCAGGCGGACUCUCAACCACUGCGCCACCAGGGAAGCCCAGGGUUGUGAUUUUGGAGUUCAGAGAAACACCGGUCCCAGCUUGGGCUGAGGGCAGGCCACCUUGCCCUGAUAACUAGCCCGUCCCUCCUCUCUGCUUCCUAGUGAAAGGCAAGCUUGAUAACCAAUCAGAAGGGGCAUUUUUGAUUGACUCCCCAAAUUCCUACCUUAAAUCUUGCCCAUUGUCAUCGGAUGAGACAUCGUCCACGUGGAUCUGGUCACAGUCCUGUAGAGAAUUUGGCAAGAAGAGAAAAAGGGAGAAAUGUGACUGGUGAAGCUGAUGCAGCCUUUAAGAGUUGGUUUCAUAAGCUGAGGGGUGAAGGAGCACUGAACUGGGAGUCAGAGUCCUGAAUUCUAGUCCACACUUUGCCACCGAAGGUCAGGUGACCUUGGGCUAAGUCUCAUCCUUUUGCCUUUGGCUAUACGGGGUGGUGGUGACCGUAUAAUUUAUCAUGCAAACCCAGAUAAUUUUGCAAUGUAAAGGGGGCUGCUGUCAACGUUACAUUAGGAGGACAGGCACAAAAUAGGACCUAUCUCCCUCUGCCCCCAGGUACACUAGGACCUAUGGUUACCAUGGCCAUACGGUGGAAGCCUUUCACUAUUCAAAGUGUUUCCUCUGCUUGGAAUGCUCUUCUGCUUUCAUCUCCUUAGUGAACCUUGGAUUCUUCAAGCAUUAGCUUCAGGAGGUACCCCCUGCCCAAGUCCCCCUCUGUGUCCCACGAUCUGUGACCAUCAUUUAUCAAGCAUUACUACGUGCCAGGCACCAUUCCAAGGGUUCGCCAUUCAAUGGACUCCAAUAACAUGCUGCUUUCCACCACCCAUACAUCUCUCAGUUCUCUUUGGAGAAAUACCGUAACACAUGGGAGUUAAGACAGAGGGGAAGGGAUGAUGUAGGCGGGCACAUGACCCAGGCUCAACCAAUCAGAGAGACCCAGGGUCCCUCUAGCCACAGUGAUGACUUCAGAGAUGAGUGUGUGGCCUCAGCUGGACCAAUGAGAACCAGUCCUGGGACUUUUGGGAAAGAGGAGCUCUCCUUUCCCUAAAGCUGCUGGAUGGUGAGAUGAGGCCUGGGGCUGUUAGAGGAAAGUAGGUCUGGGAGUUGGAGAGAGGGAGGAGGCCCUGAUCAGAUCACAUUGUUUGCUCCUCUGGAUCCAGCCACAACUGAGACAAGGCCACCCUGACUGCCACGGCAGGCUGAAUGAUAGCCCCGCAAAACAGCCCUGUCCUAAUCUCAGGAAACGUAUAUAGAAAAAGGAACUUUGCAGAUGUGAUUAAGUUAAAGAUCUUGAGAUGGGGAGAUCAUCCUGGAUUUUCCCGGUGGACCCCAAAUGUAAUUACAAGGGUCCUUGUAAGUAAGAGGCAGAGGGGUAUUUGACGACAGAGAGGAGAAGGGAACUGGAGUGAGGUGCUUUGAAAAUGAAGGCGGAGGCCGCAAGCCAAGAAAUACAGGCGGCCACCAGAAGCCGAGAAUGGCGAAGAAACAUAUUCUCCCUUCAAAGCCUCCAGAAGAAACCAGCUCUGCCAACAUCUUCAGCCCAGUGAAAUUGAUUUUGGACAUUGAUCUCCAGAACUGUGUUGUUUUAAGCCACUAAGUGUGUGGUAAUUUGGUACAGCAGCCGGAGGAGACGAAUACACGGACUUUUCCAUUUCAGUGAGUGGAGAUGGAUUUCCGUCAUGUUGCAACCAAGAGGCAAGUGAUGCAACAGCUGCCAAGGAAGCCUGUGAACUCUGCCUCCAUCAGAAGGUCCAUUCAGGUGAUCGGUCCAUAAGGCAAAAAUCGUGAGCACGCUGUGCCUGCCCCCCGACGGUACUGGUUAGAGCUCAGGCUCUGGAAUCAGAUCACCCGGGCUUGGAUCCUGGAUCCAACCACUUGAGCAAGUGACUUAACCACCCCAAAUCUCAGAGAUCAGUUUGGCAAAUGGAGAUAAUAACAGAACCUGCUUCACAAGGUUGACGAGAGGAGAAGGGUCUGGCUACAUAAAUGUUAGUUUUGAUUAUUGUGUUAAGAUUUGUAAACAUCCAGGUUUUGGUUUGCAAGACAAUUUCAGGGGGCAGAUAUCUCCUCGCAAAGGCUGCUAGAGAGAGGAAGAUGCGCGUGGAACUUUGAGCUUGGCCUCUCAGAGAAAAACUGGUUGCAACAUCUCUGGGCCCUUGAUGGGAGGAGAAAAGCUGGGGAAAAAAAUGGUGGUGUCAACAUUUUGAGCAGAUCUCUUUUUACACAAGGAAGAGGCUUGAGUUUAUCUCUGAGAACAAGAGUUUUGCUGGGGGAUGAUGGGACCACCUUCCCUCCAUCACUUUUUAAAGAUAUACAGAGAUAACUUAGUUGUUAUGGAGAUGCGGGGGUAGAGCAGGUGGGGACAGUGGCAUUUGGGGCAGCCUGGGCUGCUCUGUGGGGAUCAAGGUUGGAACCUGGAAGAAGGGGUGGUGUGGCUGCUGAUCCCUCUCUGGCCCCCCUGAAUGAGCUCUGGACUGGAAGGCGGUUUGCUGGCUCCUCUGGAUUGGAAAGAGGUUUGUUUCCAGAGUCCCUGGCACGCUUUGCCCACAGCUCUGUGGCAGUGACAAAGUAGGACUCAGGGUCCUGCUACACGGCACCUCACGUGUCUGUGGGCCUGGCACAGCGCCCAGGCGUGGGCAACGGUGUGCUCUGACAGGUCUGACAGCAGGGAGGUCUACCCAGAGGCUUCCUAGGGGUCAGCCAUGGGCAAAUGGUAGCCAGAGCAGAGGGCAAAGAACAUGGCAGAUGCUCAGUGGUGACCCCACCUGAGAAACUCUUUGGAUAGUUCUGGAAAAAAACUAGGUGGGGGGCACCGAGUGACCAUCCUUGAGUGAGCGGACAUCUGGUUUACACCUAAAGCUUUUCUGCUGUAUUCCGUAUUUCCUUUCUUUCCAUGCACCCAGGAUUCUGAUGUCUUGGUGGUAUAAUUGAUCCCCCUCCCUGAGAGGGUGUGUCCUUUCCUAAACAGUUGAGCACGAUGGGACGCCCCAACUGGAAGAGCCGACAGUCACAUUAUCUAAUACAGCAGAGGUUAGCCGCGUGUGGUUCUUUAUAGUUAGAUUCAAUUAAAAUUAAACAGAAGAGAAAAUUCCGUUCCUUAGGCCUAUUUCAAGUGCUCGAUAGCCAAACGGAGCCAAUGGCUACCAUACUGGAUGGUGCACGUUUUCCAUCAUUGUAGAACAUUCUAUCGGACAGUGCAGCUCUGGAGGGAUAAAGAAACGAGGUUGACAAUUUCUCUGCUGUGUUGAUAGGUUCAAUUAGGGAAGAGCUUGCAAGCUGGCCUGGAGACAUAUCUCAUUUAGCCCAAAAUGUGCUUAUUAAAACAUUUUUUGGAAGAAGAGCCGUCUCUCUCCCCCUUUCCUCCGUCCCUUCUCGCUCUUCUUGUUCUCCCUCUCUCUCUGUCUCUAGAUUUUCAGCUACUCUGAGAAUUUACACGCUCUGGCAACGCAGGGCUUGCAUUCGUCUAUCCUGAGAAUCCUUAGCCUUGACGCUCCUCUGCAGCCUCUACUGGGUUUUCCUCACUUUACCUUACCUGCUUACUUGGCCCCUGUGGGCAUCCUAGUUUGAAACCUCUGAUCCAGAGCAAUCUCAUAUACAUGGAAGGAUCCCAGGGCCAGCAAUCCUCACAGGUUAAUGAAAACUGUAUUUAAAAGCCAGCGCUGACUUUGGAGACCCAGGCACCGAGGAAAAAUUAAUAGCAGAUUUCCCCCCAGUCCAUUGCUUUGCCUGAAAUUGGAAAAACACCUCCCCGUGGCCCCCAGGCCUCCCCUCAAGCUUGAAAGCUGCUCUGGGGGGUCACCAGGGCUCAGGCCUCUGGGCAGGGUUCCCUGUGCUUUCCCUGAUAUCAGGGGAAAGGUAUGUGGGGAGGCUCUGUUUUUCUCAUUUGCGAGGGGAUUGUCGGGGGUGCUAAAGUGUGACAACAGUAGCGAUCACAUUUCGGGCUUAAUAAAAUACCAUGACGCUCAGCUAGACACUACCUCAUACUCCACCAGCUGACCUGGAUUGAGUUACCCGCUGGGCCAGCACCGAGGGGAGUGGGACAAAGCGGAGGACACGAAGAUGGGGCUGGGCCCUGGGGGAAGAGGAUCAUAUGUCCCUCAACUGUGCUGCACGGGGGGCAGGCCUCUCAAAGGAUGCCAGCCUCUCACGGCCCAGGGUGCUUCUGGCCUCUCUGGAGUCAGAGUGUGACUAUCAUGGCCGGGGGUGGGGGGGGUGUCUGAGCGGGACUACCCGCCCAAGACAGAGGAUGGGUUCCUGUGGCCUUGGCAUUGGUGAGGCGCAGUGGGGCUGAGGAAUUGACACUUUCUGACCCAGAGAAACAACUGCAAAGAGUCUCGUGCAAGGAUGUCCAGCAUCCCAGCGAGAAACUGGAAACCCCUGCAGUUCCCUCGAUUGGAUCAUGGUGGAAUGAACUGUGGUAUAUCCAUUCAGGGGCAUCCUACCCAGCAGCUCAGAAGAAAGAGGGAGGUAGUUAUGUUGGCACAUGGAGAUGUUUCCAAGACACCCUACAGUGCAAAAAACAGCAGACUGGAGGAUGAGACAUCCAGUGUCACGCAUGUCGAUAUUUACAGAACCAAUUAAAAACAAGGUCAUAGAUAUAAAUGCAUCCAUAUGCAUAAAUGGACACAGAAAGAUCUGGAUGCUCACACGUCCGACUGGGAACAGUAAUUCCAUCUGGGAAGGCACUGGCGUUGGGUUAGUGGUCAAAGGAGGCUUUAACCUUACUGAAAUGCUUUCUUUCCUUUCCUUCCUUUCUCCCUCCCUCCCUCCCUGUUUCCUUCCUUCCCUCCUUCCUUCCAAGGAGAAUAUGGACAUAUAUCGCUUUUGAAAAAUAAAGUAUCUCCCUGGGGAGGAGAGGAGAAAGCAGGAUCUAACACUGGAGGCCAGAGGCCAGCGAUAUAUAGCCUCUGACUGGCUCCCAACAUGCCGGGGUCUGUGCUCAGCACUUCACAUAGAUUAACGGGGAUACUACUGUCGUUCAUCUUACACAGGAGAAAAUGAGGUGAGAGAAGUACAGGAACAGGUCUGUUAUGAGCUGAAUUGUGUCCCCUCAAAAGAUGUUGCAGUCCUAACCCCAGUACCUGGGAAUGUGACCUUAUUUGGAAAGAGGGUCUUCACUGAUGAUCAAGUGAAGAUGGGGUCGUGAGGGUGGGUCCUAAUCCAGUAUGACUGAUGUCCUGAUACAAAAGGGAAAUCUGGACACAGAGACAGAUAUGCACACAGGGAGAACAUCAUGUGACUGUGAGGGCAGAGGUGGGGUGAUAGGUCUACAAGCCAAGGAACGUCUCGGAGAAGGUAGGAGAGAGGGGCAAGGAGCAGAUUCUCCCUCAGAGCCUUCAGAAGGAGCCAACCCUGCCGACAUCUUGAUCUUGAACUUCUGGUCUCAAGACCUGCAGGACAGGAAGUUUCUGUUGUUUAAGUCACCCAGUCUGGGUACCUGGUUACCCCAGAAAACUUCCGAGGCCAUAAAAUGAAGGCGAGGAGGAGCCCAGGAGGCUGUGUGCCUCCAGAGCCUGUUCUGGCAAAGAUCCAUCCAUCCUAAGACUAACUUAUAAAAAUGCCUCCCGUGGGCCCGGAACAGCAUCAGAGGAUGCUUGGGUCAAGAGAGGGGAGGUUUCGGGACUAACCUGACUCUUGUCCUCAAGGUACUUCUUGUGUCCCCGGAAAAGAGAGGCUCCUCUGCUGCUCCCACCAUGGUCCAAGCCAUCAUUACCUGCCACCUACACCGGAGGGUGGCAAACUAUGACCUGGGGGCUAAAUCUGGCCUGCCCGCUGUUUGUGUAAAUAAAGUUUUA